ACCUGACUGCUAUCGGAUUGAUACUAAGCCAUGCGAGUCACUGUAGCAAUACAAGGCAUACGGCUCAGUAACGCGUAGUCAACCUAACCUAUGGACGGGAAUAACCUCGGGAAACUGAGAAUAAUGCCCGAUAGAACAUUAUGCCUGGAAUGGUUUAUGUUCCAAAUGAUUUAUCGCCAUAGGAUGGGACUGCGGCCUAUCAGUUUGUUGGUGAGGUAAUGGCCCACCAAGACUAUUACAGGUACGGGCUCUGAGAGGAGUAGCCCGGAGAUGGGUACUGAGACACGGACCCAGGCCCUAUGGGGCGCAGCAGGCGAGAAAACUUUGCAAUGUGCGAAAGCACGACAAGGUUAAUCCGAGUGAUUUCUGCUAAAGAGAUCUUUUGUUAGUCCUAGAAACACUAACGAAUAAGGGGUGGGCAAGUUCUGGUGUCAGCCGCCGCGGUAAAACCAGCACCUCAAGUGGUCAGGAUGAUUAUUGGGCCUAAAGCAUCCGUAGCCGGCUCUGUAAGUUUUCGGUUAAAUCUGUACGCUCAACGUACAGGCUGCCGGGAAUACUGCAGAACUAGGGAGUGGGAGAGGUAGACGGUACUCGGUAGGAAGUGGUAAAAUGCUUUGAUCUAUCGAUGACCACCUGUGGCGAAGGCGGUCUACCAGAACACGUCCGACGGUGAGGGAUGAAAGCUGGGGGAGCAAACCGGAUUAGAUACCCGGGUAGUCCCAGCUGUAAACGAUGCAGACUCGAUGAUGCAUUGGCAUAUAGCCAGUGCAGUGUCGCAGGGAAGCCGUUAAGUCUGCCGCCUGGGAAGUACGUACGCAAGUAUGAAACUUAAAGGAAUUGGCGGGGGAGCACCACAAGGGGUGAAGCCUGCGGUUC
rnacentral:rRNA from 1 species